UGGGGAAUUUUGGACAAUGGGCGAAAGCCUGAUCCAGCCAUGCCGCGUGAGUGAAGAAGGCCUUCGGGUUGUAAAGCUCUUUUAGUCGGAAAGAAAGAGUUGCAAUGAAUAAUUGUGAUUUAUGACGGUACCGACAGAAAAAGCACCGGCUAACUACGUGCCAGCAGCCGCGGUAAUACGUAGGGUGCGAGCGUUAAUCGGAAUUACUGGGCGUAAAGGGUGCGCAGGCGGCCUUGCAAGUCAGAUGUGAAAGCCCCGGGCUUAACCUGGGAAUUGCGUUUGAAACUACAAGACUAGAGUGCAGCAGAGGGGAGUGGAAUUCCAUGUGUAGCAGUGAAAUACGUGGAGAUGUGGAAGAACACCGAUGGCGAAGGCAGCUCCCUGGGUUGACACUGACGCUCAUGCACGAAAGCGUGGGGAGCAAACA
rnacentral:rRNA from 1 species